rnacentral:rRNA from 1 species
UACGUAGGGCGCAAGCGUUGUCCGGAAUUAUUGGGCGUAAAGAGCUCGUAGGCGGCUUGUCGCGUCGGAUGUGAAAGCCCGGGGCUUAACUCCGGGUCUGCAUUCGAUACGGGCAGGCUAGAGUUCGGUAGGGGAGAUCGGAAUUCCUGGUGUAGCGGUGAAAUGCGCAGAUAUCAGGAGGAACACCGGCGGCGAAGGCGACUACCUGGCCUGUUCUUGACGCUGAGGCGCGAAAGCUAGGGGAGCAAACGGG